CGUCGCCUGGGGGGCAGCAGUAGGGAAUUUUCGUCAAUGGGCGCAAGCCUGAACGAGCAAUGCCGCGUGAACGAGGAAGGUCUUCGGAUCGUAAAGUUCUGUUGAGGGGGAAAAAGAGCGGAGAGAGGAAAUGCUUUCUGAUUGAUAUUACCCUUCGAGGAAGUCACGGCUAACUACGUGCCAGCAGCCGCGGUAAUACGUAGGUGGCGAGCGUUAUCCGGAAUGAUUGGGCGUAAAGGGUGCGUAGGCGGCCUGCUAAGUCUGGAGUGAAAGGUACCGGCUCAACCGGUACAGGCUCUGGAAAC
rnacentral:rRNA from 1 species